rnacentral:rRNA from 1 species
GCCUAAAGCGUCCGUAGCCGGCUCUGUAAGUUUUCGGUUAAAUCCAUAUGCUCAACAUAUGGGCCGCCGGGAAUACUGCAUAGCUAGGGAGUGGGAGAGGUAGACGGUACUCCGUAGGAAGGGGUAAAAUCCUUUGAUCUAUGGAUGACCACCUGUGGCGAAGGCGGUCUACCAGAACACGUUCGACGGUGAGGGAUGAAAGCUGGGGGAGCAAACCGGAUUAGAUACCCGGGUAGUCCCAGCUGUAAACUAUGCAAACUCAGUGAUGCAUUGGCUUGUGGCCAGUGCAGUGCCGCAGAGAAGUCGUUAAGUUUGCCGCCUGGGAAGUACGUACGCAAGUAUGAAACUUAAAGGAAUUGGCGGGGGAGCACCACAAGGGGUGAAGCCUGCGGUUUAAUUGGAGUCAACGCCAGAAAUCUUACCCGGAGAGACAGCAGGAUGAAGGUCAAGCUGAAGACUUUACCAGACAAGCUGAGAAGUGGUGCAUGGUCGUCGCCAGCUCGUGCCGUGAGGUGUCCUGUUAAGUCAGGUAACGAGCGAGAUCCUUGCCUCUAGUUGCCACCAUUACUCUCAGGAGUAGUGGGGCGAAUUAGCGGGACUGCCGUAGUUAAUACGGAGGAAGGAGAGGGCCACGGCAGGUCAGUAUGCCCCGAA